rnacentral:rRNA from 1 species
GCAUAUCAAUAAGCGGAGGAAAAGAAACCAACAGGGAUUGCCCUAGUAACGGCGAGUGAAGCGGCAACAGCUCAAAUUUGAAAGCUGGCUCCGGCCCGCAUUGUAAUUUGCAGAGGAUGCUUUUGGUGAGGUGCCUUCCGAGUUCCCUGGAACGGGACGCCACAGAGGGUGAGAGCCCCGUAUGGAUGGACACCAAACCUGUGUAAAGCUCCUUCAACGAGUCGAGUAGUUUGGGAAUGCUGCUCAAAAUGGGAGGUAAAUCUCUUCUAAAGCUAAAUACCGGCCAGAGACCGAUAGCGCACAAGUAGAGUGAUCGAAAGAUGAAAAGCACCUUGAAAAGGGGGUUAAACAGUACGUGAAAUUGUUGAAAGGGAAGCGUUUAUGACCAGACUUGCGCCGGGCAGCUCAUCAGGGGUUCUCCCCUGUGCACUCUGCCCGGCUCAGGCCAGCAUCGGUUCUCGUGGGAGGAUAAGAACGGUGGGAAUGUGGCCCCCUCUCGGGGGGGUGUUAUAGCCUGCCGUACGAUACUCCCGUGAGGACCGAGGUUCGCGCUCCGCAAGGAUGCUGGCGUAAUGGUCAUCAACGACCCGUCUUGAAACACGGACCAAGGAGUCGUCCAUUAGAGCGAGCGUUUGGGUGUCAAACCCGCACGCGUAAUGAAAGUGAACGCAGGUGAGAGCUUCGGCGCAUCAUCGACCGAUCCUGAUGUUCUCGGAUGGAUUUGAGUAAGAGUUUUAACGGACGGACCCGAAAGACAGUGAACUAUGCUUGUAUAGGGUGAAGCCAGAGGAAACUCUGGUGGAGGCUCGCAGCGGUUCUGACGUGCAAAUCGAUCGUCAAAUAUGAGCAUGGGGGCGAAAGACUAAUCGAAC